GUCUUUUACUUGGCUCCCUCUGCUCUGUUUUUUGGUCCUAAUUUUCCAGCAGUGGGGGUUACCAGGCACUACUUUCAAUGUAGUAGACUCAGCAGUUCUAUAUCAUGCAAAUUGUAAAUGUAGAGUAGAAUGUAAUUGUAACGUAGAAUGUUAGAACCAAAGAUCUUAGAAGUUAUUUUCUACCUUGCCCAGAUCUCCUGACUGAUUUGAGGAUCUUUUCUUUGUUCCCAUUCAGCUUCACAGGGACAAGGGUUGGGGGUGGUAUCAGAGGACAGCCCCUUAGUCUCCCAAGAGCACUUUGAUGCUUGAUCCCAUUCUCUACAUUCCCCCAGCCCAGUCAUCUAAGGCCAGAGCUCUUUUCUCUGCUCAGGCAUUAUUGACAGGAUAAGUCCUGGCAUUCAGACAGGUCUGGUGAAGUGACCAGGUACUCUGGCCCAGAAGUUCUCUGUCGGCUCCCCCCGCAGGCUCCAAUUCAGGUAAACUGUCUUGAGCCCCACCCUCACCUGCCUGUGCUGGCAACCAGUGGCCUAGACCAUGAUGUGAAGAUCUGGGCACCCACAGCUGAAGCUUCCACUGAGCUGACAGGGUUAAAAGAUGUGAUUAAGAAGAACAAGCGGGAGCGGGAUGAAGAUAGCUUGCACCAAACUGACCUGUUUGAUAGUCACAUGCUGUGGUUCCUUAUGCAUCACCUGAGACAGAGACGCCAUCACCGGCGCUGGCGAGAACCUGGGGUUGGGG
rnacentral:sRNA from 1 species